CCGCAGUAUUCUAACUGUGCAAAGGUAGCAUAAUCAUUAGUCUUUUAAUUGAAGGCUGGUAUGAACGGUUGGACGAAGUAUAAGCUGUUUCAUAUAAAUUUAUAAUAGAAUUUUAUAUUUUAGUUAAAAAGCUAAAAUAUAUUUAAAAGACGAGAAGACCCUAUAAAUCUUUAUAUUUUGUAUUAUUUAAAUUUUUUAGAUAAUUUUUAUUUUUAUAAUAUAAAGUAUUUUGUUGGGGUGAUGUUAAAAUUUAAUGAACUUUUAAUUUAUAAAAUCAUUAAUUUAUGAUUUGUUGAUCCAUUAAUAAUGAUUAUAAGAUUAAGUUACUUUAGGGAUAACAGCG
rnacentral:rRNA from 1 species